AUGGUGGUGCUGAGCUUCGCAGUGCAGAUCACGCUUAUGCUCUUGGCAGAUCUUCGUCGACGUGCAGACUGGCCCGUGCUAAAGGUCAUCAUUUGGUCAGCAUACAUGUUAGCCGACACAGUGGCCAUAUAUGCCCUGGGUCACCUGUCGGUGGUCGUCAGGUUGCCCGAGCACCACCUUAUGGCGCUGUGGGCGCCAGUGCUGCUGGUGCACCUUGGCGGGCAAGACAACAUCACCGCCUAUGCCAUCGAGGACAACCGGCUGUGGCUACGCCACCUGCAGACUUUUGGACUGCAGCUCGUAGCAGCUGGCUACGUGUUGUAUGCGUCUUCCAUUCUCUCCCACCCGUCCUUGCUCCGUUCGGCCGCCAUCCUCAUGUUUGUCGUCGGGGUUGUCAAGUACGGCGAAAGAGUGUUGGCGCUCAUGGGUGCCGACAGAUUUACCAGUAGCAACCUAUUUACGGCAGGUGAGGAAGCUUUGCGUGAAGAACCCGCAAGGCGGAGUGAUGUAGUGGGCCAGAGAGUUAUGUCCAAAAAACCUCUAGGCCAGGGGGAUAUAUACGAGGGGCUAUUCAGAGCUUACUCACUGUUGGACGUCCCCAAGGAAAUGUUCGAGGGACCAACACGUUUUGUGAAAAUUAAAAAUGGGAGGCGUUAUGAAGGAGAAUUCAUGUUGAAGGUGGUGGCGAUGCAGCUCACGAUGAUGUACGACCUCUUGUACACAAAGGCAACGGUAGUGCACACCUGGUACGGCUUCUUGGCCCGUUCCAUAUCGCUGCUUUUCACCGUUGUCGCACUCCUGUUGUUCCAUGCACUGGGUGACAAAGAUGGUUACACAAGAUUAGAUGUCCUUGUCACCAAGGUUUUGCUCACUGGUGCAGUCGUCCUGGAGGCCGUAUCAGUGUUGAGGGCCGUGUUCUCCAUGUGGACAGCCGCGCUGCUAUAUGAACGUAAAUGGUAUAAGCUUGGCCGUGUAGUUCAACUCGUUGAGCUGGUGUUCGUCAUUUGGCCAAUGAAGCUACUUGUACUAGGGAAAUCCUACUGGUCGGGCCACAUGCGCCAACAUGACUUGUUUAAGGUGCCAUCUCAGAUUGGCAGUACAGGCAGCAGAAUGGCAGAAAUUAUUGGCAUGGAGAGCCUGUGGGACUCCUGGUUCUCCUCCUGGUCCACCCGUGUCCCAAAAGAUAUCAUCAACAUGGUGUUGGAACUAGUGUCGACAACAACUAAAGUUGGUCAGAUUGACAUCAGGAAAUCACGUGGCCAGAAUGCCCUAAACAAAGGAGGCCUUAUUUGGGGAGGAACUAGCAUGGAGCGUGGGAUUGGAUCUGGAUGA
rnacentral:rRNA from 1 species